UGAUUGACCUCGGAUCAGGUAGGGAUACCCGCUGAACUUAAGCAUAUCAAUAAGCGGAGGAAAAGAAACCAACAGGGAUUGCCUCAGUAACGGCGAGUGAAGCGGCAACAGCUCAAAU
rnacentral:rRNA from 1 species